UGACUUUGACAUCAGAGUACAUUCUGUAGGUAACUUUUCAAUGCAACCGAACGUACUGAAGGAUGAACAACGACCAAUGCAAGGAGUUAGACGAACAAAAUUUAAAAGACUAUUAACCUUGAUCCCAUAAACUGAAACAAUAAUUAUUUUUAGUAAUAAAAUAUUGUAUUCAAAUAAUAAUAAUAAUUAUAACCAAGAUUUUAAAUCAAAUAAUUUAGUUAUAUAUAAUAGGUAUGUAAAAUAAUAAAU
rnacentral:lncRNA from 1 species